UUUUGAAAUGCUUAACAAAGAGUCAUACAUAAGCUGCAGAGACAGGGGAAAUAUGGAAACAUUUAAAGAAAGGAUGUGACUCACAGGAAGAGAGCCAAUCUGAAAAUUCAGAGAACACAGGGAGGAGACCAAGGAGAAAUCCAGAGUGAAAUGAAAUAACGGUUUGGGGAGCAGAUGGUGCAAUAUCUCAUUCUUAAAAGUCGGAAUUAAAUCAUUGAUCCCAGAAGAAAGGGACCACCACAGUGCUACGGAAAACAGGAAUUGUGAGAAGUUAUGGGAUCCAUUUUAGCUUGAUUUACUCACAGACUCCUUAAGCACACUUCAUAAGAUGAGGAAACUGAGACACUGGAAGAGGAAGUAACUUGCCCAAUGUCACUCAGCCAGGAAGAGGUGGAACCCAGCAUUGAAAUCCAGACAGUCUAACUCCAAAACAAAUAAACAAUACCACCACACUUUUAUCUUCUAGGCUAUACAUUUCUAAUGGCCAAUGAAGAAAACAAACUGAAAACAAAAUUCCUCCUUCCUGCUCUUGCUUAUUCCUAAUGGCUGUUCUUUUUAGCUCAUGUAGAAAAUAAAGUAGUAACAUGUUUCAGUACUUAUUGUAGCUCUAGUAAUUUCAGCUUGUAAAUUUGCUUUGGAAACCUUAGUGUUUAAAUAUUAAUCAAACAGAUGCAACUUUCCAAGCAACUGUUGUCAGAGAAAGAUCAACAUUCGUUAGAUUUUUACUUACUGACAAGUUAAAAAUAAGAUUAUGGUAGCUUUCCUACCUCCUGAAAAUCUGUUGCUCUUUAAGCCCCUCGUCAGAUUCAAAAGAAAUAUUUUGCACUCAACUUUAAAGCAGAGAUAUAUAAAAAUCAGCAAAUAAAUGAAAAAGUGAUUAAAUUCUUUAUUAAAGAUUUACCAAAAAAUAAUCCUUUAACUAUGUAAUCCUACAAUUGUUUUCAAAUACAAAUGAUUUUCCCCAUGUUUAGAUGUAUGUAUUUAAUGAAUACAACUCAGUAUAAUGAUCUUCCUAAAAAUGCCCCUUUUGUUUCCUUUUCUGAGACUUCUAAUGUAUUAAAAAAUAUAUAAUGCCAAAAAGCUUUUAUUAAAUUGUGAAAAAUUUAAAAUUUCCACACUUGUUAAAGAAAUACUUUUAAGCACACACAUGUGCAGUGAUUUGCUUGUAUUUUUCCCUUGAUGGUAACGGGAUUUAGA
rnacentral:lncRNA from 10 species